UACGUAGGUGCGAGCGUUGUCCGGAUUUAUUGGGCGUAAAGAGCGUGUAGGCGGCCUGGCAAGUCCGCUGUGAAAACUCGAGGCUUAACCUCGAGACGUCGGUGGAAACUGCCUGGCUAGAGUCCGGAAGAGGAGAGUGGAAUUCCUGGUGUAGCGGUGAAAUGCGCAGAUAUCGGGAAGAACACCCGUGGCGAAGGCGGCUCUCUGGGACGGUACUGGACGGCUGAGACGCGAAAGCGUGGGGGAAGCAAACAGGG
rnacentral:rRNA from 1 species